CUGUCCCACCGCGAAUGUGGGACAUCGCUGUUAACGCAUCCGUCCAACCGCCUCGUGGAUCAGCUCAGCGCUGCGCCUCAUCUCUCCCAUUACCGCAGACUCCGGUGCUCCUCGUGGACGGGCGCGCGAAUCUGCGAGCUCAUUCAAACAGGUGGUGAGCGGUUUCAGGUGGAGCAGCAGCUCAUUCACUGAGCGACCGGCGCAAGAGCUUCAACACGCCGAUAGGACCACUUGCUUUCCGUUACAAGGACUCAAUUGUGGCUGCUGCGCGUAUUAACGCAAUCUAACCGCCGUGCUUAGGUUAUUUAGUCGAAGGACAGUUUGCUUUAAUUAGCCCUCAGCUUACAGGUGGGCGAAAGCCGUACGUAGGACGGCCCCUCUUUCAGUUCCUCAACAGGAGACGCGGGACUGUCAUUUGUUUGUCAUCCUGUGGGACAGAAGAAACGGCUCCGUUAACAGCCUCUUUCGUUCCGGAGGAGGACCGACAAAGCCAUGUCAACCAAAAAACGGGUGGAUUUAACGAGAAGGAGCCGAAGCCCCGCGGUGUCCGA
ensembl:processed_transcript